rfam:Picea glauca, whole genome shotgun sequence.
UAACAGGUGUUCUUAAACACCAUCAACUCUACUUAGAUCUAUUUA